rnacentral:rRNA from 1 species
UACGUAGGUGGCAAGCGUUGUCCGGAAUUAUUGGGCGUAAAGCGCGCGCAGGCGGUCGUUCAAGUCGCGUGUGAAAGCCCCCGGCUCAACUGGGGAGGGUCACGCGAUACUGAUCGACUCGAAGGCAGGAGAGGGUAGUGGAAUUCCUGGUGUAGCGGUGAAAUGCGCAGAUAUCAGGAGGAACACCGGUGGCGAAGGCGGGUCUCUGGGCCGAUACUGACGCUGAGGAGCGAAAGCGUGGGGAGCGAACAGG